rnacentral:rRNA from 1 species
UGCCAGCCGCUGCGGUAAGACGGAGGGUGCAAACGUUGUUCGGAAUCACUGGGCAUAAAGCGCACGUAGGCGGUCCGCUAAGUCAGAUGUGAAAUCCCUCGGCUCAACCGAGGAACUGCACCUGAUACUGACGGACUCGAGGACGGUAGGGGUGAGUGGAACUCCAGGUGGAGCGGUGAAAUGCGUAGAUAUCUGGAGGAACACCGGUGGCGAAGGCGACUCACUGGACCGUAUUUGACGCUGAGGUGCGAAAGCGUGGGUAGCAAACAGGAUUAGAUA